UACGUAGGGUGCAAGCGUUGUCCGGAAUUAUUGGGCGUAAAGAGCUCGUAGGCGGUCUGUCGCGUCGGCUGUGAAAACCCGGAGCUCAACUCCGGGCCUGCAGUCGAUACGGGCGGACUAGAGUUCGGCAGGGGAGACUGGAAUUCCUGGUGUAGCGGUGAAAUGCGCAGAUAUCAGGAGGAACACCGGUGGCGAAGGCGGGUCUCUGGGCCGAUACUGACGCUGAGGAGCGAAAGCGUGGGGAGCGAACAGG
rnacentral:rRNA from 1 species